UGGGUGUAUGGUAAUGCCAUGUACAAAGAUAAAAUUUUCUACUAAGUUCUCCUUGCAUGAAGCAGGAGAAAAGGGACAGAAAUCUCAGAAUUCGCCAUAUUACGUGUCUUCUGGAUGCUAUGAAAUAAGAAAAAUAGGAGAGGAUUUGAAGAGGUUCCACAAUCAGCAUAAGUGCCAAAGGCAGUGCAUAUUAAGUCCAGAUUGUCUAAAGUGAAUGGGAUUGUACUCAGAUUUGACAGCUUCACUGUAAAAUUAUUUACUUUACUACUGAAAACAAUAUAGCUGGUUGAUUUUAUAGGACGUAGAAGAGACUAUAGCCAGUUGACGAUGCUUUCCUUCCUCUCUUGGAGCUGUUUGUUGAGGCCAUAUUGAUAGGUGACUUGCAUUGCAAGAUUGUAUAUUGUGGAGCCCUCGAGAUCAAACUUGGGUUCUUUGGUCAGAUAGCUUCUAGGAUUUCGUUUGUUCUCUGUCUAAUUGUUUCACUAUUUGGAAAGAUUAGCUGAACUUUGCGUUGGAAAAAGUCAUUUAUCAACAGUUCCUCUGAAGAUUGUUUUCUUCUCUUGAAAAGUUGUACUGUGAGGAUAUGUUCGAGUGUUCAACUGGUGAUAAUCUAAGGAAAAUGAUUUUUUAAUCACUCAUAUUCUUGUUGUGCAAGAUAGACAUAGACGGCAUGAUUCACUCACUGCAAUGUAGGGUGGCUAGAUACCUAUGGUUGUUGCAUCAGUGGGAUAUUGUGGGUGUAUGGUAAUGCCAUGUACAAAGAUAAAAUUUUCUACUAAGUUCUCCUUGCAUGAAGCAGGAGAAAAGGGACAGAAAUCUCAGAAUUCGCCAUAUUACGUGUCUUCUGGAUGCUAUGAAAUAAGAAAAAUAGGAGAGGAUUUGAAGAGGUUCCACAAUCAGCAUAAGUGCCAAAGGCUCUUUUUUUCCUUUUUCUUGUUGCAUUUUUCUGAACUCUAGAGACUUCCAUUUUUUGACUGAAUUCAGGAAAACAUGACAUAAUUUAUCCAGGG
rnacentral:lncRNA from 1 species